rnacentral:tRNA from 1 species
UGGGGUAGAGCUCAGGGACACAGCAUGUGCUUAACAUGCCCGAGGUCCUGGGUUCAAUUCCCAGUACCUCCA